rnacentral:rRNA from 1 species
CCUACGGGAGGCUGCAGUGGGGAAUAUUGGACAAUGGGCGAAAGCCUGAUCCAGCCAUGCCGCGUGUGUGAAGAAGGCCUUCGGGUUGUAAAGCACUUUCAGUGGGGAAGAAAGCCUUGGGGCUAAUACCCUCGAGGAAGGACAUCACCCACAGAAGAAGCACCGGCUAACUCCGUGCCAGCAGCCGCGGUAAUACGGAGGGUGCGAGCGUUAAUCGGAAUUACUGGGCGUAAAGCGCGCGUAGGCGGUCUGAUAAGCCGGUUGUGAAAGCCCCGGGCUCAACCUGGGAACGGCAUCCGGAACUGUCAGGCUAGAGUGCAGGAGAGGAAGGUAGAAUUCCCGGUGUAGCGGUGAAAUGCGUAGAGAUCGGGAGGAAUACCAGUGGCGAAGGCGGCCUGCUGGACUGACACUGACGCUGAGGUGCGAAAGCGUGGGUAGCAAACAGGAUUAGAUACCCCUGUAGUC